GUGGGGAAUAUUGGACAAUGGGCGCAAGCCUGAUCCAGCCAUGCCGCGUGAGUGAUGAAGGCCUUAGGGUUGUAAAGCUCUUUCAGUAGGGAAGAUAAUGACGGUACCUACAGAAGAAGCCCCGGCUAACUUCGUGCCAGCAGCCGCGGUAAUACGAAGGGGGCUAGCGUUGUUCGGAUUUACUGGGCGUAAAGCGCACGUAGGCGGAAUGUUAAGUCAGAGGUGAAAUCCUGGAGCUCAACUCCAGAACUGCCUUUGAUACUGGCAAUCUCGAGUCCGGAAGAGGUGAGUGGAACUCCUAGUGUAGAGGUGGAAUUCGUAGAUAUUAGGAAGAACACCAGUGGCGAAGGCGGCUCACUGGUCCGGUACUGACGCUGAGGUGCGAAAGCGUGGGGGCAAACAGGAUUAGAAACCCUUGUAGUCC
rnacentral:rRNA from 1 species